rnacentral:rRNA from 1 species
GUGUCAGCAGCCGCGGUAAUACAGAGGGUGCGAGCGUUGUCCGGAAUCACUGGGCGUAAAGGGCGCGUAGGCGGCUUUUCAAGCGUGCGGUGAAAGCUCGGGGCUUAACUCCGAGUCUGCCGUGCGAACUGGGAGGCUUGAGUCUGGUAGAGGUCGAUGGAAUUCCGGGUGUAGCGGUGGAAUGCGUAGAGAUCCGGAAGAACACCGGUGGCGAAGGCGGUCGACUGGGCCAGUACUGACGCUGAGGCGCGACAGCGUGGGGAGCAAACAGGAUUAGAUACCCUGGUAGUCC